rnacentral:rRNA from 1 species
UACGGAGGGUGCAAGCGUUUGUUCGGAUUUACUGGGCGUAAAGGGCGCGCAGGCGGCUCAUUUUGUCAGGCGUGAAAGCCCCGGGCUUAACCUGGGAACUGCGUUUGAUACGGAUGGGCUAGAGUUCGGGAGAGGAGAGUGGAAUUCCCCAGUGUAGAGGUGAAAUUCGUAGAUAUUGGGAAGAACACCGGUGGCGAAGGCGGCUCUCUGGACCGAGACUGACGCUGAGGCGCGAAAGCGUGGGGAGCAAACAGG